rnacentral:rRNA from 1 species
GCUGCAACUCGCCUGCAUGAAGUCGGAAUUGCUAGUAAUGGCAGGUCAGCAUACUGCCGUGAAUACGUUCCCGGGCCUUGUACACACCGCCCGUCACACCAUGAGAGUUGGAAAUACCCGAAGCCUGUGAGCUAACAGUAAUGAGGCAGCAGUCGAAGGUAGAGCCAAUGAUUGGGGUGAAGUCGUAACAAGGUACC